rnacentral:rRNA from 1 species
GCUGAACUGGGUGAGUAAUGCAUCGGAACAUGUCCAUCUCAGUGAGGGAUAGCCCGGCGAAGAGCCUGGAUUAAUACCGGCAUACUGCCCUGAUGGGGGAAGAGGCUGGGGGACGUUCCGCAACGAAGUGCCCUCAGACUGCGAAUUGGUGUUGGACCGGAUUGUCCUGAUCUUAGGCUACGGUUUGGUGGGGUGAAAGGCUUACCAAGGCCGAUGAUCGCGUAGCUGGUCUUGAUGAGGAUGUAUCAGCCACACUGGGACUGAGACACGGUCCAGACUCUAAUACGGGAGGCAGCAGUGGGGAAUUUUGGACAAUGGGGGAAACCCUGAUCCUAGCCAUUCCGCUGUGAGUGAAGAAGGCCUUCGGGUUGUAAAGCUCUUUUGUCCGGAGCGAAACGGUUAGCGUGAAUAUCGCUGACUACUGACGGUACCGGAAGAAUAAGCACCGGCUAACUACGUGCCAGCAGCCGCGGUAAUACGUAGGGUGCGAGCGUUCAAUCGGAAUUACUGGGCGUAAAGCGUGCGCAAGGCGGUUUUGUAAGCCAGAUGUGAAAUCCCCGGGCUCAACCUGGGAAU